rnacentral:rRNA from 1 species
AGCUAUGGCCAUACCACCCUGCAUGCACCUGAUCUUGGAAGCUAAGCAGGGUCAGGCUUGGUUAGUACUUGGAUGGGGGACAUAACUGAUGAUGUCCUGGAAAUACAGGACUCUGUCCUCC